rnacentral:rRNA from 1 species
GACGAACGCUGGCGGCGUGCUUAACACAUGCACGUAGGACGCAGUUGCGAACGGGUGAGUAACGCGUAGGUAACUACCUAUUAGAGGGGGAUAACUAUUGGAAACGAUAGCUAAUCCCGCAUCCUCGUAGAUGGACCUGCGUGGUAUUAGCUAGUAGGUAGGGUAAUGGCCUAACUAGGCAACGAUACAUAGCCGACCUUGGGUGGGGAGUGGCCAAACUGGGACGUCGACACGGCCCAGACUCCUAAGGGAGGCAGCCGUAGGGAAGCUUCGGCAAUGGGGGAAACCCUGACCGAGCAACGCCGCGUGAGUGAAGAAGGUUUUCGGAUCGGAAAGCUCUGUUGUUAAGGAAGCGGUACUUAACCAGAAAGGGACGGCUAACUACGUGCCAGCAGCCGCGGUAAUUC